GUGGGGAAUAUUGGACAAUGGGCGCAAGCCUGAUCCAGCCACGCCGCGUGUGUGAUGAAGGCCUUCGGGUCGUAAAGCACUGUGGAGGGGGAAGAACAAGUUCGAGGACAACACCCUCGAGCCCUGACGGUACCCCUUUAGCAAGCACCGGCUAACUCCGUGCCAGCAGCCGCGGUAAUACGGAGGGUGCAAACGUUGCUCGGAAUCAUUGGGCGUAAAGCGCGUGUAGGCGGCUUGUUAAGUCGCGUGUGAAAUCCCUGGGCUUAACCCAGGAAUUGCGCGCGAAACUGGCGAGCUAGAGUACGGGAGAGGGUAGUGGAAUUCCCGGUGUAGAGGUGAAAUUCGUAGAGAUCGGGAGGAACACCAGUGGCGAAGGCGGCUACCUGGACCGAUACUGACGCUGAGACGCGAAAGCGUGGGGAGCAAACAGGAUUAGAUACCCGAGUAGUCC
rnacentral:rRNA from 1 species